GCCCGCUGUUGUGGUCCCUUCUCCGACUUGCUUGGGUAGGGGCUCAGUGCGGAUACUCAGUCAUGAAGUCCGGGUAGCGACUUCUCUUGGGUGGCCGUGAGCCUAGGUUCCGGGGGCGGACUUCAGGUGCCUUCAGAGGACAGAAGAGGGAAGCUGAAGAGGGUUGUGAGCCACCUGACAAGGAUGCUGGAGUCCAAACCUGGGUCCUCUGCACAAUCAACAACUGCUUUUAACUGCUGAGCCAUCUCUUCAGCCCCCAUAGUAUCCAAUGUAUGCAUACUUAUGUAUAUUUUUAAUAUAUGCACAGACAUUUUUCACUUAAAAAUAUUUUUGAGACAGU
rnacentral:lncRNA from 1 species